ACAUAAAAUUUCGUUAAUGGUAAGAGCAAAUAGUAAAUGAUUUGUUAACGCCAAUGAUAUAAAUAGACCAAGCAAUAAAGAUAAAAUUGAGCAAUAAUGGCAAUUUAGAGUCCGACUACUUUUUCUUUGAAUACUAUACUAUAUAUUUGAAAAUAUUUUCAAAGAAAAAAUUUAUGAUAAAAGAUUUUCAUAACUAAUAGUACUCCCAAUUCCAAAUAUCGUAUUUGAAUAUAGUAUACACUACAAAUUAAAAUAUUUUGACCAUGGUACUCAAAUGUGAAUAUAGAACCUGGAAAGGUAAUCAAAGUUGGCAAACAAGUUCCAUUCCAAUAAUAAAAAGAGAGAAGAGAGGAACAAAGCCGUCAAAUGUCCACAAUGAUGGAAGAAACAGAAAGAGUUAUAGAACAAGAAGAAGAAGGGUUUGUAAAAGAAGAAAUAUGGAGCUGGGGAGCAGGAACAGAGGGACAAUUAGGAACAGGAAAACUCCAAGAUGAGCACCAACCUCAACUCAUUCAUUCUCUCUCUUCUUUUGGUCCCAUCUCUUAUCUUUCCUGUGGUGGUGCCCAUGUCAUUGCCCUCACUCCUGAUGACACCUAUUUGGAGUGAGCUCUUCAAUGGAAUUUCUUUUAAAAGUUGAUGGGGUUCAGAUGACACCAUUUUGAUGUGAGAACCAAUGGAGAAUUUUGAACUUUUACAAAAGCUUGUUGUGUAAAGAUACCAUCUUGGUUUGAGAUUCAAUGGAAAGAUUUUUACUUUUCAAAGGAAAAAAGGCACAGUUUGUUGGGGUUUUUGUUUAACAUAAAAUCUGGUUAUUAGAUUAAGUAAUUAAAUUUAUGGAAUUAGGCCACAAGCAACUUGAUUAAACCUAGAUAACUAAAACCCUUGCUGAUGAAAAACAGUGUAAUGGAAAUAAGGAUGUAGCUAAAAUAAUCAAAUUAAUGAAGAAUGAGAGAAAAAGAUUGUUAUUGAAUAAUCUUCAAUGGACGAAGGUGGAGGAACAGUGGAGAUGAUUAGGAAAGCUGUAGUAAUAAUUUCAGUAUAAUAUCGUGUAUAUCAGAGUUAGAAUGGGAUACGAUGUGGGGAAGAGGGGUAUUUAUAGGAUGAGCUUGUCAAAACCGUUCCCUAGAAUCACUCCUACACGUUGCAGGCAUUACUGAUAAUUAUGAUGAUUGACUUGUAACUGCUGAUGGUGUUUAAUGGGGGAUCGCAGAUAUCUCAAAAUUGCCGUUCAAAGGGUGAUAACUCUCCGGAUGCUGCUUCAGACCAUCUGGAGGAAUCGUUCCAUAUUUGAUCUUGUACGGGAAGAGUGAUCCCUUGAUCAGCUCAUCGGUGUUCAGUCUUCGUCUGGACUACUCCGGCUGACUUGAAGUUGACUAUGAUAACCUUAAUUUGCUUGCCACAUGUUGAAUCCUGUACCUGCCACGUGUUUGGUAUAUUUUUUACCGAUACAGUUUUGCAGGUGGAAGAGUGCUAACAUGGGGGAGGGGUACAUCUGGUCAGUUAGGUCAUGGAAAGAUGGUUAACUGCUUACACCCAAAGUAUGUGGAAUCUUUGGAAGGCGUCUUUAUUACACAUGCUUCUGCUGGAUGGAAUCACUCAGGAUUUGUGUCAGACACUGGUUACGUAUUCACUUGUGGAGAUGGUUCAUUUGGUCAGCUUGGGCAUGGGGAUUAUGUCUCAAGAUGUUCUCCUGUACAAGUGCUGCACUUCAAGAGUAAGCAUGUCGAGCAAAUUGCUUGUGGUAUGCGCCAUUCACUUGUCUUACUAAAAGGUAAAGUAGGCCUAAUACUUGCAUUUCUUUGUUCAUCUGGUUAUAUUAACAAAAUUGCUGCUUUCUGAGAAUGGUGUGUGCUGUAUAUCUGUUCUCAUUAGUAUAAUUUGUCAUAGUUUAGUUUGGUAAUUAGUGCUGUAAAUGCUUCUCUUAAACUUUCGCUAGCCCUAUACAGCUUUAGUUUCAAUGGGUUAUUGCCAUGAGCUUGAAAUGAAAUUGGAUAGCUGUGACUAGUCACAGCAUUCCAGGCCUGUUAACAUAAGAACUCCAGAGAUUAAAGAAUUCAGGUAGGGUAUGCCAAUAGUUUCUUUACUCUCGUAAUCACGACAAAUCUGUAAUUGAUUGUUACAGGUAAUAAUAGUGAAAAACGUUUCUUCUUUGUGGUGUGAAAUUAUUGAUUGUUACAAGGUAAUAUUCCUAAGAGAUGGUAUAUUUCUGGUUUCUAAUCACCUUGUUAGGAUAGAGAAAGCAGGUUGAUUAGAGUUUUUUCUUAAAAACUUUAACCAUCAUUUUGGAAGCAAGUAAUUUUACCAAAUGCACAUAGGUUCUAAAAUAAGUAAUUAGACAAUUUUAAUGAGC